CAGCAGCCGCGAUAAUACCGGCGGCCCGAGUGGCGGUCACUCUUAUUGGGCUUAAAGCGUCCGUAGCCGGGUUGGGAAGUCCUCCGGGAAAUCUGGCCGCUUAACGGUCAGAAUGCCGGAGGAUACUCCCAGCCUAGGGAGCGGGAGAGGCCGAGGGGAUUCCCGGGGUAGGGGGGAAAUCCUAUAAUCCCGGGAGGACCACCUGUGGCGAAGGCGCUCGGCUGGAACGCGUCCGACGGUGAGGGACGAAGGCCAGGGGAGCAAACCGGAUUAGAUACCCGGGUAGUCCUGGCGGUAAACGAUGCGGACUUUGUGUCGGACAAGCUAUGAGCUUGUCCGGUGCCGGAGGGAAACCGUUAAGUCCGCCGCCUGGGGAGUACGGCCGCAAGGCUGAAACUUAAAGGAAUUGGCGGG
rnacentral:rRNA from 1 species